rnacentral:rRNA from 1 species
UAGGGAAUCUUCGGCAAUGGACGGAAGUCUGACCGAGCAACGCCGCGUGAGUGAAGAAGGUUUUCGGAUCGUAAAGCUCUGUUGUAAGAGAAGAACGAGUGUGAGAGUGGAAAGUUCACACUGUGACGGUAUCUUACCAGAAAGGGACGGCUAACUACGUGCCAGCAGCCGCGGUAAUACGUAGGUCCCGAGCGUUGUCCGGAUUUAUUGGGCGUAAAGCGAGCGCAGGCGGUUAGAUAAGUCUGAAGUUAAAGGCUGUGGCUUAACCAUAGUAGGCUUUGGAAACUGUUUAACUUGAGUGCAAGAGGGGAGAGUGGAAUUCCAUGUGUAGCGGUGAAAUGCGUAGAUAUAUGGAGGAACACCGGUGGCGAAAGCGGCUCUCUGGCUUGUAACUGACGCUGAGGCUCGAAAGCGUGGGGAGCAAACAGGAUUAGAUACCCUGGUAGUCCACGCUGUAAACGAUGAGUGCUAGGUGUUAGGCCCUUUCCGGGGUUUAGUGCCGUAGCUAACGCAUUAAGCACUCCGCCUGGGGAGUACGACCGCAAGGUUG